UUUAUGGAGAGUUUGAUCCUGGCUCAGGAUGAACGCUGGCGGCGUGCCUAAUACAUGCAAGUCGAGCGAACAGACGAGGAGCUUGCUCCUCUG
rnacentral:rRNA from 2 species